UUCUAUGGCCAUGCCACCCUGAACAAACCCGAUCCCAUCUGAUCUCGGAAGCUAAGCAGGGUCGGACCUGGUUAGUACUUGGAUGGGAGACCACCUAGGAAGACCAGGUGCUGUAGGCA
rnacentral:rRNA from 1 species